UCAUCCUGCUUCUCGUCGACGUCGAGCCAGAUCCAGAGAAGAGCCUCCCUACUUAAUGAUCUGGUCAUUUCUCACCUGUUAAUACUUACAUUUUAGUUUUUAUUUUGAUAUAGACUUAUUUGCUAGUAAUUAUGGACAUCCAGAAGCAAUUAGUCUUUCGUGGGCUCUUGACAUCGUAUGCCGACUUGUUUGCCUAAUUUCGACCCUUGUUUACGGCGCCUUCACCGUUUACGCCUCCGCAAUAAUUUACGAUGGAGGUGUACGUAUAAAGCUGAGAAGAUUCAGGGGCCAAAAUGUAUCUCCACGUCUUGGAAUUUCAUGGAAGUUAGAGAGGGCUGUGCAUGGUGGAGAAGAACAAGGGGAGUUUAGGGAAAGACGAAGAAGAAGUUUCCCCAAUCUGUCUAGAA